NAUUGAACGCUGGCGGCAUGCCUUACACAUGCAAGUCGAACGGUAGCGGGCCUUCGGGUGCCGACGAGUGGCGAACGGGUGAGUAAUGUAUCGGAACGUACCAUUGAGUGGGGGAUAACGUAGCGAAAGUUACGCUAAUACCGCAUAUUCUCUCCGGAGGAAAGCAGGGGACCGCAAGGCCUUGCGCUCUUUGAGCGGCCGAUAUCAGAUUAGCUAGUUGGUGAGGUAAAGGCUCACCAAGGCGACGAUCUGUAGCGGGUCUGAGAGGAUGAUCCGCCACACUGGAACUGAGACACGGUCCAGACUCCUACGGGAGGCAGCAGUGGGGAAUUUUGGACAAUGGGGGCAACCCUGAUCCAGCCAUGCCGCGUGAGUGAAGAAGGCCUUCGGGUUGUAAAGCUCUUUCGGCCGGGAAGAAAUCGCAUGGGCCAAUACCCUGUGCGGAUGACGGUACCGGCAUAAGAAGCACCGGCUAACUACGUGCCAGCAGCCGCGGUAAUACGUAGGGUGCGAGCGUUAAUCGGAAUUACUGGGCGUAAAGCGUGCGCAGGCGGUUUUGUAAGACAGGCGUGAAAUCCCCGGGCUCANNCCNNGGAACUGCGUUUGUGACUGCAAGGCUAGAGUACGGCAGAGGGGGGUGGAAUUCCACGUGUAGCAGUGAAAUGCGUAGAGAUGUGGAGGAACACCAAUGGCGAAGGCAGCCCCCUGGGUCGAUACUGACGCUCAUGCACGAAAGCGUGGGUAGCAAACAGGAUUAGAUACCCUGGUAGUCCACGCCCUAAACGAUGUCAACUAGGUGUUGGGUGGGUAAAACCAUUUAGUACCGGAGCUAACGCGUGAAGUUGACCGCCUGGGGAGUACGGCCGCAAGGUUAAAACUCAAAGGAAUUGACGGGGACCCGCACAAGCGGUGGAUGAUGUGGAUUAAUUCGAUGCAACGCGAAAAACCUUACCUACCCUUGACAUGUCCAGAAGCCUGAAGAGAUUUGGGUGUGCCCGAAAGGGAACUGGAACACAGGUGCUGCAUGGCUGUCGUCAGCUCGUGUCGUGAGAUGUUGGGUUAAGUCCCGCAACGAGCGCAACCCUUGUCGUUAAUUGCCAUCAUUCAGUUGGGCACUCUAACGAGACUGCCGGUGACAAACCGGAGGAAGGUGGGGAUGACGUCAAGUCCUCAUGGCCCUUAUGGGUAGGGCUUCACACGUCAUACAAUGGUCGGUACAAAGGGUUGCCAAGCCGCGAGGUGGAGCCAAUCCCAGAAAGCCGAUCGUAGUCCGGAUCGUAGGCUGCAACUCGCCUGCGUGAAGUCGGAAUCGCUAGUAAUCGUGGAUCAGCAUGUCACGGUGAAUACGUUCCCGGGUC
rnacentral:rRNA from 1 species